rnacentral:tRNA from 1 species
GCCCCGUUAGUGUAGAGGCCAAGCACACAGCCCUCUCGAGGCUGAGACACGGGUUCAAAUCCCGUACGGGGCA